GUGCCCUUGACAUUGACGUCUAGCCCUUUGGACUAGACUUUUGUGGGUGGAAGGCACCUGCUGGCAGGUAGAGGUGUGGCCUAGUGGAAUCAUGCCUGGAGCUAGAACCAUCUACUAACAGAACAACAUCUCAUUGUGAGCUAUAAAGGGUGAAGGGUGCACACUGCCCUCCUCCUCAUUGCUCAACAUUGUAAAAACAGCCAGGCCCUCCGCACUGCACAAGAGUGACCGACGACCCAGCUGGGGCUUUUCCUGCUAGCACUGGAACCACCCGGGGCAGACUGGGAUACACUGGCCAUCCUACCCGCACAGCUCCAGGCUCCAGGCUCCCGGAGGCCAGGGUAGGGGAGUCUUCAUGAAGUCACCUGUGUGGAUGACGCCCCCUGUCUACACCCCCCGCAGAGAGCACAGUGCCUGUCUGGAUGAGGAACCCAAGAAGCAAGAAUGAAGCCCCAGGGGUAGCCAAUGGAGAAGGAGGAGACAAAAAGCCCCAGCUCCUGGGCGUCACGGCUCCCUAAUACAUGUCUUCGUAUCCCUGGGAUACCUCUGGCCAUCUACAGCAAGGGCAAGGCUAAAGGUAAUGUGCUCAGGAAACAGUUGCAAUUCAUAAGAAAAGGAAUGAAGGAAAAUGACAAUCAGAAUAUGCCAGCAUUGGGGACACCGAAAUGAACCAGAUAUGUUCCUGGUACCAAGGCAUUCGUUUACAGCUAAUGGGAGAGACAGUUUAUAGGAACUGUUGGCCUAGGAGCAAACACUGAAUGUCACAGAAUCAGAAGAUGUGAGAUUGAGCCUCUCCUCCACCACUUCGCAGCUUUGUGACCUUCAAACUAGUCACUUAACCUGAGUCUCAAUUUUCUUCAUCUGUGAAAUGAAGACAAAAAUAACCCCCCUCAUUUUUCUUCACUGGGUUAUUAGGAGGGUCAGCUGAACUAA